rnacentral:lncRNA from 1 species
GCCAAUGGUUGAAACCCAUGGCCCUUUGAAAUGUGCUGCUCACUCCUGUGUGCUGCUGGGUGUUUCCUGAAAGCUACGUUCCAACUGUGCUCUGAGAUCCCGCAACUUUCUGAGGGUGCUGAGUAUGGAUGGAGUGUGGGGCCCUGACAACUAGAGAACUUGCUCAAACCUGGCCGUUUCCUCAGUUGUGGUGGUUUUAAAACAUGUCUGCAAACCCUCAGACCUUCCUCUCAUUAAGAGGUAUGUGAGUGAGCAAACCAUGAGAGGAGUCCAGCCCUGGCCUUCCAGCCGUCCCAGCUGAGCGGAGAGACAGACAUGCUGUUCCUGCAGCAUCCUGGCCAAACUGCCAAUUCGAUUUCAAGGCAGUCUUCUCCCAAAAGAGAAUUCUGAGGCUGGCCCACUACAAUGUAUUUCUGCAGACAGAAGAUGAGAACAAGGCCAAAUGAUCAGUUGUGGCAUCUUUCAGUCAUAAGUUCAAUGAUUCUGGGCACAAGGCAAGGAGCCCUCUAAGGGAAGGAAGUCAUUCAUCGAAAUUAGAGCCACAGGCGGCUGAGGACAGGGCCAGGGACCAGCAGAGAUUCUG